rnacentral:rRNA from 1 species
GAUGAACGCUGGCGGCGUGCCUAACACAUGCCAGUCGAACGGACAGGCCCGGCGCUUGUGGCUCUCACGUGUGGCGAAGGGGGGUGUAAAACACGUGUAAACUGCCCCUGACAUAGGGAUAACUCUUGGAAAAUCGGGCUAAUACCGCGUAGGAGCUACUGCUGCAUGGUGUGGGAUGGUAAGAUUCGGCGGUGUGGGAUGGAUUCGCUGCUUAUGAGCUUGUUGGUGGAGUAGUGGCUGACAAAGGCUUCGACGGGUAGGCGGCCUGGGAGGGUGACCGGCGACAUUAGGACUGAGAGACGGCCCAGACGCCUACGUGCGGCAACAGGGGGGAGUAUUGCACAACAGGCGCGAGCCUGAGACAGCAAUGCUGCGUGCGGGAUGCUGGCCUUCGGGGGGUAAACAGCUUUCGCCUGUGCCAUAGCGUGAGUGACGGUAAUGAGUAAAGAAGCCCCGGCUAACUACGUG